AUUGAACGCUAGCGGGAUGCCUUAUACAUGCAAGUCGAACGGCGUGGCGAACGGGUGAGUAAUGUAUCGGUACGUGCCCAGUAGUGGGGUACAACUCCGCGAAAGAGUAGCUAAUACCGCAUACUAGUAGAGCGGUUGCUAUGGGAUUAGCUAGUUGGUGGGGUAACGGCUUACCACGGCGACGAUCCCUAGCUGGUUUGAGAGGACGACCAGCCACACUGGGACUGAGACACGGCCCAGACUCCUACGGGAGGCAGCAGUAGGGAAUUUUGGACAAUGGGGGAAACCCUGAUCCAGCCAUCCCGCGUGUGCGAUGAAGGCCUUCGGGUUGUAAAGCACUUUUGGCAGGAAAGCGGUACCUACAGAAUAAGCACCGGCUAACUACGUGCCAGCAGCCGCGGUAAUUC
rnacentral:rRNA from 1 species